UACGAAGGGGGCUAGCGUUGCUCGGAAUCACUGGGCGUAAAGCGCACGUAGGCGGAUUGUUAAGUCAGGGGUGAAAUCCUGGAGCUCAACUCCAGAACUGCCUUUGAUACUGGCGAUCUUGAGUACGGGAGAGGUGAGUGGAACUGCGAGUGUAGAGGUGAAAUUCGUAGAUAUUCGCAAGAACACCAGUGGCGAAGGCGGCUCACUGGCCCGUAACUGACGCUGAGGCACGAAAG
rnacentral:rRNA from 1 species